rnacentral:rRNA from 1 species
AUUGUCAUGCUUUCAAAGAUGAAUGACAAGUAACAUGUGUCCCUAUUUUUGAUCAUUGAUCUAUCGGUGCAUUCGAUACAUGGCGAGCGAAUAUGUAUGAGUUUGUUUCAAUUACAAUUUGACACGAAAUGUGCCAAGGAAAAGAAGAUAUUGCUCCUCCUUUGAAUGUAAUACAUUGUUAUUUUUUAUAAGGGUGGCGAUUAAUCAAUAAUCAAAUGACUCCCAAUAAUGGAUAUCUUGACUCUCGUAUCGAUGAAGAACGUAGCAAAAUGCGAUACAUGGUGUGAAUUGCAGAAUCCCGCGAAUCAUCGAGUUUUUGAACGCAAGUUGCGCCUGAGAUCAAUUAUAGGUUUAGGGCAUGCUUGCUUGGGUGUAGUGUAUAAGUCACCAAAAUAUUUUUUCCAAGACAUAGUGAUGGAUGGAUGUAUUUGGUUAUUGCGUUGUCUUCUCGUACACCCACUUCUGUACGAUUGGAUAAAAUAUUAGUGUCCUUGCMAUCAAAUGCCUUACGUGUUUUGGUUAACAUUGUAUGGUAUCAAUAUUGUCAAGUUAUAAUUAAAAGGCCAAACAGAUUGUCGGUCUUAUCCUUGUAAAAUUAGAGAAUCAUUUUGACCCCAGGUCAAGCA